rnacentral:rRNA from 1 species
UACAGAGGGUGCAAGCGUUGCUCGGAAUCACUGGGCGUAAAGCGCACGUAGGCGGAUCCUUAAGUCGGGGGUGAAAUCCUGGAGCUCAACUCCAGAACUGCCUUCGAUACUGAGGAUCUCGAGUCCGGGAGAGGUGAGUGGAACUGCGAGUGUAGAGGUGAAAUUCGUAGAUAUUCGCAAGAACACCAGUGGCGAAGGCGGCUCACUGGCCCGGUACUGACGCUGAGGAGCGAAAGCUAGGGGAGCAAACAGG